GGGGAGUUAGCUCAGCUGGUAGAGCACCGGACUUUUAAUCCGUUGGUCACGGGUUCGAACCCCAGACGACCCACCA
rnacentral:tRNA from 1 species